UACGUAGGGGGCUAGCGUUGUCCGGAAUCAUUGGGCGUAAAGGGUGCGUAGGCGGCGCGGUAAGUCGGGUGUGAAAUCUCGGAGCUUAACUCCGAAACUGCAUUCGAUACUGCCGUGCUUGAGGACUGGAGAGGAGACUGGAAUUUACGGUGUAGCGGUGAAAUGCGUAGAUAUCGUAAGGAAGACCAGUGGCGAAGGCGGGUCUCUGGACCGGUACUGACGCUGAGACGCGAAAGCUAGGGGAGCAAACGGG
rnacentral:rRNA from 1 species